rnacentral:rRNA from 1 species
UACGGGGGGGGCAAGCGUUGUUCGGAAUUACUGGGCGUAAAGGGCUCGUAGGCGGCCAACUAAGUCAGACGUGAAAUCCCCAGGCUCAACCUGGGAACUGCGUCUGAUACUGGAUGGCUUGAAUCCGGGAGAGGGAUGCAGAAUUCCAGGUGUAGCGGUGAAAUGCGCAGAUAUCAGGAGGAACACCGGCGGCGAAGGCGGCACUCUGGGCCGGUACUGACGCUGAGGAGCGAAAGCGUGGGUAGCAAACAGG